rnacentral:rRNA from 1 species
GACGAACCGUCCUAACGUUGUUCGGAAUCACUGGGCUUAAAAGGCGCGUAGGCGGCCUUGAAAGUCGGGGGUGAAAUCCCACGGCCUAACCGUGGAAGUGCCUCCGAUACUGCAAGGCUCGAGGGAGGUAGGGGCAGCGGGAACUUCCGGUGGAGCGGUGAAAUGCGUUGAUAUCGGAAGGAACGCCGGUGGCGAAAGCGCGCUGCUGGACCUCUGCUGACGCUGAGGCGCGAAAGCCAGGGGAGCAAACGGGG